rnacentral:rRNA from 1 species
GACGAACCGUGCGAACGUUAUUCGGAAUCACUGGGCUUAAAGGGCGCGUAGGCGGGCCACCAAGUCAGGGGUGAAAUCCCACGGCUCAACCGUGGAAGUGCCCUUGAUACUGGUGGCCUCGAGGGAGGCAGGGGCGUGCGGAACUUUGGGUGGAGCGGUGAAAUGCGUAGAUAUCCAAAGGAACACCGGUGGCGAAAGCGGCGCGCUGGACCUCUUCUGACGCUGAGGAGCGAAAGCGUGGGGAGCGAACAGG